CGUGUAGGCGGUCAGGUAAGUGGGAUGUGAAAUCCCUCGGCUCACCCGAGGACCUGCAUCCCAAACUGCCUGGCUUGAGUAUGGGAGAGGAUGAGGGAAUUCCUGGUGUAGCGGUGAAAUGCGUAGAUAUCAGGAGGAACACCGGUGGCGAAGGCGCUCAUCUGGCCCAAUACUGACGCUGAGGCGCGAAAGCUAGGGGAGCAAACGGGAUUAGAUACCCCGGUAGUCCUAGCCGUAAACGGUGAUCACUCGGUGUUGGAGGCAUCGACCCCUCCAGUGCCGCAGCUAACGCAUUAAGUGAUCCGCCUGGGGAGUACGGCCGCAAGGUUGAA
rnacentral:rRNA from 1 species